UUAAAUGAAUUGACGGGGCCCGCACAAGCAGCGGAGCGUGUGGUUUAAUUCGAUGAUACACGAAGAACCUUACCAAGGUUUGACAUGCAAGUGGUAGUGAACUGAAAAGGAACGACCCUUCGGGGAGCUUGCACAGGUGCUGCAUGGCUGUCGUCAGCUCGUGUCGUGAGAUGUUCGGUUAAGUCCGCUAACGAGCGCAACCCUCACUGUGUGUUAUACGUGUCACACGGGACCGCCGGUUUUAAGCCGGAGGAAGGUGGGGAUGACGUCAAGUCAGCAUGGCCUUUAUAUCUUGGGCCACACACACGCUACAAUGGCCAGUACAAUGGGAUGCCAAGCCGCGAGGCGGAGCCAACCCUCAAAGCUGGUCUCAGUUCGGAUUGCAGGCUGCAACUCGCCUGCAUGAAGCCGGGGUUGCUAGUAACCGCAGGUCAGCUAUACUGCGGUGAAUACGUUCCCGGGCCUU
rnacentral:rRNA from 1 species